CCUACGGUAGACAGCAGUGAGGAAUAUUGGUCAAUGGACGAGAGUCUGAACCAGCCAAGUAGCGUGAAGGAUGACUGCCCUAUGGGUUGUAAACUUCUUUUAUAUGGGAAUAAAAUGUUCCACGUGUGGGAUUUUGUAUGUACCAUAUGAAUAAGGAUCGGCUAACUCCGUGCCAGCAGCCGCGGUAAUACGGAGGAUCCGAGCGUUAUCCGGAUUUAUUGGGUUUAAGGGGAGCGUAGGUGGAUUGUUAAGUCAGUUGUGAAAGGUUGCGGCUCAACCGUAAAAUUGCAGUUGAAACUGGCAGUCUUGAGUACAGUAGAGGUGGGCGGAAUUCGUGGUGUAGCUGUGAAAUGCUUAGAUAUCACGAAGAACUCCGAUUGCGAAGGCAGCUCACUGGACUGCAACUGACACUGAGGCUCGAAAGUGUGGGUAUCAAACAGGAUUAGAUACCCCAGUAGUC
rnacentral:rRNA from 1 species